CCAAGAUGGAAGGCUAGAAAAACACUCGAGUACUGAUUUUUUUCUAGGCUUCAUGGUGGUUUUGAAAAGAUGGCAUUCACUCUGGCUCAUGUAUUGAUGAAAUUUCUAGGUGCCACUGGAUCAGCACAGGACUCUGGGCCAGCCUACCUGGGUUUGAAUGUUACCACUUGCUUUGUGAUCAAUUCAAGUUGCCUAAUUUUUUGUACCACAGUUUCCUCCUCUGUAAAAUGAGGAUAAUUAAAGUACCUCUUUCACAGGAUUGUUGACAAGAUUUAAAAAAAAAAAAAUGUCUUCAAUGGAAGGCACUCACAGUACCUGGCACAUAGUAAACACUGUAUUAGUGGGAUCUGUUAUGACUAAUAGACUUGCAUGCUAUGCCCAAUGCAAUGUCACGUAUAACCUAACUGUUCCCUGAGUUAAAAUAGUUCCUGGGAAAGAACUUCUUCGAGUGCCUAUUUAAUUUUGGGACCCACCAUCCACGAGACUUUAAGCCUCCUCUGAGUAGCAGUAGUGAAGGUUUCAUUUAUUACAUUCUGGUAGGAAAGCACAGGGGUGGGGGCAUAAGUCCUUUACUUGUUUUUGCUUCCUUUGAAGAGGAAACAAGGAAACAUUCCUUGCUGUUUCUGGCAAAUACCAGCAGCAGACUCCAGUGUCUUCCAUAGGACAAAGAUAGUAAUCUUGAGGCUUCUUCUUGCUCCAACAGAAGAAUCCCAGCCCUCUGCAGUACCUUCACUGGGAGUAGAUAGGAUGGAAUUAACUGAAAGUCAUUAAGGAGGGCAGCCUUGAUGACUAGCAUUUGACAUUAG
rnacentral:lncRNA from 1 species